AGAAGGAAGAAAGAGCAGUUAAUGUGGAAGAAAUUAGGUUACCAUGGCAACUUUGUGAAUACAAAGAAAACUUGUUAGCUUGAAGAACAGGGUUAGCAAGUUCACGCCACAGCACUUGACCAAAAUGUACUGGAGCUGUGAGAUGAAUGGAAAAGAAUGAAUGGGUGGAUGAUGAAUCUCAUUAACAAGAGAGAGUGCAGUUUUCGACUAUUGAGGGAACAUCUUUUGACAGCAUCUACCGAACUUGCCUGGGCUCGCAGGAUCCAGCCACCAGUUUUACAUGUAAAUGGAAAGAACGCUAGGAGGCAGUCCUAGUGUCAAGAGAGAAUGAUUUUCCAGUUUUUCCUCAACUACUAUACCAGUUGAG